CCAUGUUUUACUAUGAUGAUAAUUAUGUUGGUAGGGACAUCUGAUUAAAGUUGAUGAAUGCCAACUUCUCUGACUAGCAUGG